UACGUAGGGUGCGAGCGUUGUCCGGAAUUAUUGGGCGUAAAGCGUGUGUAGGCGGUCUGAUUAGUCAGAUGUCAAAGACUGGGGCUCAACCCCAGGAAGGCAUUUGAAACGGUCAGACUAGAGAAUGUGAGAGAUUGCUGGAAUUCAUGGUGUAGUAGUGAAAUGCGUUGAUAUCAUGAGGAACACUCAAGGCGAAGGCAAGCAAUUGGCACAUUUCUGACGCUCAGACACGAAAGCGUGGGGAGCGAAUGGG
rnacentral:rRNA from 1 species